CUGGGGCGGGCGGCGGGCAGCGGCGGCGAGUCGACGGAAGCACAGAGAGCAUGCUCUCGGGUGACGAGUGGCGGACGGGUGAGUAAUGUCUGGGAAACUGCCUGAUGGAGGGGGAUAACUACUGGAAACGGUAGCUAAUACCGCAUAACGUCGCAAGACCAAAGAGGGGGACCUUCGGGCCUCUUGCCAUCAGAUGUGCCCAGAUGGGAUUAGCUAGUAGGUGGGGUAACGGCUCACCUAGGCGACGAUCCCUAGCUGGUCUGAGAGGAUGACCAGCCACACUGGAACUGAGACACGGUCCAGACUCCUACGGGAGGCAGCAGUGGGGAAUAUUGCACAAUGGGCGCAAGCCUGAUGCAGCCAUGCCGCGUGUAUGAAGAAGGCCUUCGGGUUGUAAAGUACUUUCAGCGGGGAGGAAGGUGUUGUGGUUAAUAACCGCAGCAAUUGACGUUCCCCGCAAAAGAAACACCGGCUAACUCCGUGCCUGCCCCCGCGGGAAGCCGGAGGGGGCGAGCUUUAAUCGGAAUUAUAGUGCUGGAAGUCCACGCCGCCGUUUUGUAAAGUGCCAUGGGAAAUCCCAGGCCCCACCUUGGCACUCGGAUUUACAGAGGUGAAUGUUAAGCUUGAGUAAGUACGUGGUGUUUCUUGGGUUGUGAGUAAUUAGUCAAUACAUUGAUUGUCUUAUCGGUCCUGCUUGCCACAGUGGCCAACUAGAAGAAAUACAGAGCCUCUAGUGCGAAAGCAUAUCNAACAUACUUCAUCUGAUAUUCCUGUUCCUCAACUCUUGAACUAAUUUUUACUAUCAUUUUAGUCUCUGUGAGACUGUCUACCAGAAGCGACGACGUUCGGGGAUCGCCCGGCUCAGGUUUUACUCUCAGUUUAGUCUCGGGUGCCUUCCCGUGCUGUCGUGAGAGGUGGUUUUAUUUUUAUGUAUUAAUUUGUAUCUUUCUCCGANNAUUGUUACCUUGGCUUUNCAGNAAUUUUNUUUUUUCCUUUAUGGNAUAUUGCCUACUGGGGUCGUUUAUUCCAUAUCCUCCUUUGUAUG
rnacentral:rRNA from 1 species